rnacentral:rRNA from 1 species
AGUGAACGCUGGCGGCAGGCCUAACACAUGCAAGUCGAGCGGCAGCGCGGGGGCAACCCUGGCGGCGAGCGGCGGACGGGUGAGGAAUUCGUCGUAAUCUGCCUUUUUGUGGGGGAUAACGUAGGGAAACUUACGCUAAUACCGCAUACGUCCUACGGGAGCAAGUGGGGGACCGCAAGGCCUCACGCAGAAAGAUGAGCCGACGACCGAUUAGCUAGUUGGUGGGGUAAAGGCCCACUAAGGCGACGAUCGGUAGCUGGUCUGAGAGGAUGAUCAGCCACACUGGGACUGGGACACGGCCCAGACUCCUACGGGAGGCAGCAGUGGGGAAUAUGGGACAAUGGUCGCAAGCCUGAUCCAGCCAUGCCGCGUGUGUGAAGAAGGCCUUCGGGUUGUAAAGCACUUUUGUCCGGAAAGAAAUCCCUGGAGCUAAUACCUUCGGGGGAUGACGGUACCGGAAGAAUAAGCACCGGCUAACUUCGUG